UAAUAUAUAUUCUCAUAGAUUUUGCCAAUCUUGGAAACGAACCCUGCUAUGAUGAUAUGUAGAAUCUUAGAUAGUUGUGUAACCAUGCCUCGACUUUGUGGUCUCAAAGCUAUCUCACAUGUUUGGAGUCACUAUGAAAGGAUUGAAGAAGGUGAUGAUGGAUGGUGGAAAGUAAGAUGUAGUUAUUGUCAUCUUGUUUUAUGUUACAAUGCACGAGAAACUGGUACUAAGUCCUUAAUGAGGCAUGUUGAGCGUUGUUUGGAGCAUAAUUUGGUGAAGCCUAUAAGGAUUGAGUAGUUGUUGUGUUGUUUACUUGAAUUUGAACUAUUAGUAUUAUGUUUGGACUUUAGACUUGUUAAUCUUAAGGUUUCUACUACUUUGCAUUGUUAUUAAUGUGUUUGAACUAUUACUUUGGAGUUUGGACAUUACUGUGUAUACAUCUGUUUUUGGGUUGUGAAAGUUGGGAUCUUUUUAUCUCC